AGUUGUCUGGUCGCAGACACAGAGCUCGAGGCUGGUAGAUAAGCGUUGGUCCUUGUUAGGCGCUUUUCAUCUCUUUUUUCUGUCCCUUCUAUUCUUAUUCCUAUUCUUUUCUUUCUCUCUCAUUGGUAUCCUUUGGCAUCACUCCUUCCUAUAAUCUCCUGUCCUUACCUACUAUCUCCCCCUCCUCCAUGUCUUCAUUCUUGUAACCCCUCUUUUCAUUCUCCCACCAUUCCUGCACCCUUACCUAACCUAGCAUUCUUUUUCCUAUCUUCGUCGUUUCUCUUCCCUUUUCACUCUCAUUUUCCCCAGUCUCUCCCCCCUACCUCCAAUCCAUUCUGGUCUGGGACUGGCUUGAAAACAGCCAGGAGGAAGCAGCUACCAUCGUCGUGAGCUCAUGACUACGGCUACCACACCAUCGACCUCAACAACAACUAGCCAGGAGAGGACAACGACUACACCGACCAACACAGACUCGGUUAACUGCGCUCAGUGACCACGCCAGAAGCAACAGCGGCUACCAAACAGUUGUAUUAACAAGUUUCCUGUUCGUUACACCGACCAAAGUGUUCUUGACUAAGGGCACUGGAUAAGACAAGAGUGGGGGGCUCUACUGAUGGGGGAAGCAGCUACCACCGUCGCCACCUAAUGCUGCACGUGACUACGACUGUCAACUGACACCAACAACAGGUGGCUAGGAGAGGACAGCGACUUUGUCCACCAAGACAUCAACGAUCACCUGACACGGAUUAUGGCGGCCAGUGACCACGCCGAGUAAAGCAACAGAGGCUACCAGGAUUACUUACAGGUUUCCCUGUCGUUACUCCACCAACUAUUUCUCGACUAAUGAGACUGGAUUAACAGACUGGCAUGACCACCACUGCCAUCAACGGUCAGCUGAUGUUGCUCGGUGACUACGACGAUCACACCAUCGACCUCAACAACAGCUGGCUUGGAAAGGACAGCGACUACGCCGAACAAACCAACGGCGGCUAACCAGGGGAUGUAUUCCUUUUCUAUUCCGUGCACUGUUUUUUUUCUCUCUCUCACUCUCUCACUCACUCUCACUCAUGCACUCUCACUCACUCUCUCACACUCACUCUCACUCACUCACUCUCUCACACUUACUCUCACACACACUCUCACUCAC